CACUUCUCAACAAAUGCCAUAAAUUUUACAUGAAAAUUGUGCAUUCCAAAACUAAUUACAAUGUAGUUGAGAAGAUUAAAGGUUACAACAACAAAUCAAACCUUAUUCCUAAUAAAUUUGGGGUCGGCUGAAGAUUAAAAACUAAAUGGAACAAAAUUUACAGUAUUAUAGAUAUACCAACAUUUCAAAUUUAUUUAAUUCAAAUUUCUGUCAUCAAAAGAAGUAGGCAAACCUUUAAGUACAUCCCUCAGAGCAUAAAGGUGACUAUCACAUUUGUGGUCUGAAAUUAUGUUGCUUGAAAGCGAUAUCCUCUGAAAAUGUUCACCUGGUUGUCUCUUGCACAGUGUGAAAUAUUCCACACUUUUGUCGUGGCUUUUGGCAACAACGUCCCUCUUCAAAUAAUAGAGAGUUCCAGGUACAUAUAACUCAGCUACUUCACAAGCAGUUUUAUCACGUUUUAAAAUAUCACAGCCUACGCCUGCUGGAUUAGAAGUUUGAGGAAUGCUUUGAACCACUUCAACUUCCCUCUUUGCGGGCAACUCUAUAUAAUAUUAAGGAAAUUCAAGGUUAGAAUUCUCAAGUUUAUCAAGACUUCAAUUAAUAAAUGAAGAAAAAAGAAAUUUUAGCGACAAUCGAUAACUGACACUCAACUCUAGAAGACCAAACAAGAACUAGAAGUUCUAAAAAUUACACAUUUACUUUACUGAAUAUCGGUGUUGAACCUAUUGAUUUAAAAGUUUAAGCUCUUAGAUAGGACCGCAUGUAUAUCUUUUAAAUCAUGUGUUCAACAAACCGUCCGCAUUCACAAUCCAUUAAAGGUGGCAUUCAGACAAGAAACGAAGAUCUUUGCAUUAUCUAAUACCAUGCUGAAGCACUUAUCUAAAAGCUAUAAAGGGUAAAUAGUCAAGUAGUCGAACUAAUGUUGAAUUGGUAGUAAAAAUUAAAU
rnacentral:lncRNA from 1 species